rnacentral:rRNA from 1 species
UACGUAGGCAGCGAGCGUUGUUCGGAAUUACUGGGCGUAAAGAGUGUGUAGGCGGUGCUCUAAGUUCGGUGUGAAAUCUCCUGGCUCAACUGGGAGGGUGCGCCGGAAACUGGAGUGCUAGAGGGUGGGAGAGGAAAGCGGAAUUCCUGGUGUAGCGGUGAAAUGCGCAGAUAUCAGGAGGAACACCAAUGGCGAAGGCAGCUCGCUGGGACGUGACUGACGCUGAGACGCGAAAGCGUGGGGAGCAAACAGG